AUUGAACGCUGGCGGCAGGCCUAACACAUGCAAGUCGAGCGAGCGGCGGACGGGUGUGUAAUGUAUGGGGACUGCCCGCUAGAGGGGGAUAAAUACUGGAAACGGUAGCUAAUACCGCAUACUAUCGGAUAACCCAUAUGGGAUUAGCUAGUAGGUGGGGUAAUGGCUCACCUAGGCGACGAUCCCUCGCUGCUCUGAGAGGAUGAUCAGCCACACUGGGACUGAGACACGGCCCCGACUCCUACGGAGGCAGCAGUGGGGAACAUUGCACAAGGGGCGCAAGCCGAAUGCACCCAUGCGGCGUGUAUGAAGAAGGCCCUAGGGUUGUAAAGUACGUUCAGUCGGGAGGCGUUACCGACAGAAGAAGCACCGGCUAACUCCGUGCCAGCAGCCGCGGUAAUAC
rnacentral:rRNA from 1 species